UACGAAGGGGGCAAGCGUUGCUCGGAAUUACUGGGCGUAAAGGGCGCGUAGGCGGGAUGGCAAGUCGGUCGUGAAAUCCCUCGGCUCAACCGAGGAACGUCGAUCGAUACUGCUGUUCUUGAGGAUUGCAGAGGAGACUGGAAUUCCCGGUGUAGCGGUGAAAUGUGUAGAGAUCGGGAGGAACACCGGUGGCGAAGGCGGGUCUCUGGGCAAUUCCUGACGCUGAGGCGCGAAAGCGUGGGGAGCAAACGGG
rnacentral:rRNA from 1 species